rnacentral:lncRNA from 1 species
UGGUAAUGGGCGGCUACACAAAUGGACUGGACUACAUUUUUGUGUCUCUCUGCUAACAAAUUUGUUCAAGACACUGCAAGCACCCUCACCGGUGGACUGCACACCCAGCCGCACCACAGCGACGACCCAUGCAGACUGCAGUGUUGCGCCCAAAUGAACGGCUCAUGAUGCGCCCGAGGUGCUCACGUCGAGCAACGGUCCUGGAUCUGGCAGCAGAGAGAGCGGCCGCACUGCAGCAUCGCUGCGACUGAACCGCAUUAGGAGCCCAAGAGUACUGCACUCUUCGCACCCCCGUCGGACCCUGUAGGACUCCGGGCAUGAUACAAUGUAACCCUGCAUCAGGAAAAGGAGCUGAUUUCUUUAAUUUAUUUUCUAACUAUAAAAGAAAUGGGUUAACUAAACCCAUCGCAUAGCAAACUGCAGGGCACUGAAGAUUUUUCAACAGCAAAAAAAUCAAAAUAGUGUACUGCAAGACCAACUUCCCCCAAUAAAUUUUAAACUCAAAAUAAAAUGCCACUCGGGCACUUUUUCUCAACCACACGCUCCUUCUUUGUCCUCUAGCACUUUCCCCCUUGAGCAAACGAGCGCACUGCUUCACACCCACAAGCAUACUGCUCGCCGGAGGUGAGCUGCACGAGUAGUGGCAACCGAGCGCACUGCUUCACACCCACAAACAUACUGCUCGCCGUAGGUGAGCUGCACGGGGGCGGCAAGCGAGCUACACGGGGGAGCGGCAACCGAGCGCACUGCUUCACACCCACAAGCAUACUGCAGCGUGGAUGAAUUCAACAUCAACCAAAAACAAACUUCAUACUGUGGGGAGGAGAAAUUGAGGGGGCACACACCCACUGUACUGCGGAGUCGCGGUGCACUGCACC